rnacentral:rRNA from 2 species
CCUACGGGAGGCAGCAGUGGGGAAUAUUGGACAAUGGGCGAAAGCCUGAUCCAGCCAUGCCGCGUGUGUGAAGAAGGUCUUCGGAUUGUAAAGCACUUUAAGUUGGGAGGAAGGGCAGUUACCUAAUACGUAUCUGUUUUGACGUUACCGACAGAAUAAGCACCGGCUAACUCUGUGCCAGCAGCCGCGGUAAU